GAUGAAGAACGCAGCAAAAUGCGAUAAGUAAUGUGAAUUACAGAAUUCAGUGAAUCAUCGAAUCUUUGAACGCACAUUGCGCCCGCCAGUAUUCUGGCGGGCAUGCCUGUUCGAGCGUCAUUUCAACCCUCAAGCACAGCUUGGUGUUGGGACUCGCGUUAAUUCGCGUUCCUCAAAUUGAUUGGCGGUCACGUCGAGCUUCCAUAGCGUAGUAGUAAAACCCUCGUUACUGGUAAUCGUCGCGGCCACGCCGUUAAACCCCAACUUCUGAAUGUUGACCUCGGAUCAGGUAGGAAUACCCGCUGAACUUAAGCAUAUCAAUAAGCGGAGGA
rnacentral:misc_RNA from 1 species